rnacentral:rRNA from 1 species
GACGAACGCUGGCGGCGUGCCUAAUACAUGCAAGUAGAACGCUGAAGAGAGGAGCUUGCUCUUCUUGGAUGAGUUGCGAACGGGUGAGUAACGCGUAGGUAACCUGCCUUGUAGCGGGGGAUAACUAUUGGAAACGAUAGCUAAUACCGCAUAACAAUGGAUGACACAUGUCAUUUAUUUGAAAGGGGCAAUUGCUCCACUACAAGAUGGACCUGCGUUGUAUUAGCUAGUAGGUGAGGUAAUGGCUCACCUAGGCGACGAUACAUAGCCGACCUGAGAGGGUGAACGGCCACACUGGGACUGGGACACGGCCCAGACUCCUACGGGAGGCAGCAGUAGGGAAUCUUCGGCAAUGGGGGCAACCCUGACCGAGCAACGCCGCGUGAGUGAAGAAGGUUUUCGGAUCGUAAAGCUCUGUUGUAAGUCAAGAACGGGUGUGAGAGUGGAAAGUUCACACUGUGACGGUAGCUUACCAGAAAGGGACGGCUAACUACGUG